GGAGUACUUCCUCCGUUCCAAAUUACUCGUCGCAGAAAUUGAUGUAUCUAGAACUAAAAUACAUCUAGAUACAUCCAUACCUGCGACAAGUAAUUCGGAACGGAGGGAGUACAUA
rnacentral:pre_miRNA from 1 species